rnacentral:lncRNA from 1 species
GGAGAAGCAGUACGGCAUGGAGGAGCUGCAGCAAAUGCUACCGGAGAUGGCACAGGAUUUUGGCUCACCUUCUUGGCCUUGUUGGUCUGCUGAUAGAGGAAUCCUCGCGAGCUUCGAAGUGGUUUGCAGACGACAUGGCAAGGGCGGGAGAACAUGAGCUCGUUGUCUCCCUCUGCAUCUUUUGUCGUCGGCUGCAACAGAUCGAAUGGCACCGCUCCACGCAUCCGUCGCCCCCCGCCCAUUACACCUCCUCCCCCGGUGGUGCCGUGUUAUCCCUCCAUGGCUUGGCUCCUCAUGAAACCUCCACCAGCUGUAAAAUACCAUCUCCACCAACACUUCUGUCCGCUGCCUGAGAGCUCCCAAAAAGCACCCAGCCGUUACAGAACGGCAGCUCCUUGUUUCCUUGCCCCAUUCCACCGCUUUGACCUAGUGGGGUUUGCCUUAUCUUGGUCCAUCCCCGGCCAAUUUAGUCGCUCCACAAAACCAAACCCCUCUUCCCCUCCUCCCCCUCCAUUCGAUGCUGCCAUCCGCGCGCUCCGUCGCUUUCUUCGCCGUGCUCCUGCCAGGGUUGCUCGUCUCCGGCGUGUUGACGCCCGUGGCGCUUGAUCCGUCGGCGGAGAGCGAAUCUUGGGGGACCGCAGCUGCCGCCGCUGCUUCUGCUUCCCCUCUUCUUUCUCCUCCUACUCCUUGGCUUUCUCUUCCUGCUCCGCCUACUAGCGAGAUCUUCCAGGAAAAAAAAUGGACCGACCGGCCAUUGUCGGGGGAUUUGGUACCGGUCGAGGAGUCUCCUCCUUUUGUCCCGGAUCCCAAAUCGGCGUUGCUAUUGAGUUCGGCUGAAAGGUAAGCACUUGGAUUUUGGAUUGGUUCAAGUAAGAGCAGGGUUUUCUGUUAUCGCUCGUAUGUUUUUGAUUGGUUGUGUUUGUUAAAGAUCUAACUUUUUAACGUUCAAGACACGAAUUUGAAGAUAGUUGUCGUGAAAUUUGACUCUCUCCUUUCGAAAUUCGACAUUACUUGCAGCUUAGUAGAGGCUAGCUGCUGUAACAAUGACAAUUUGCUAGCUGUGAUAGGCGUUCUUUUAAGCACGUCGACUUGUGCGAAUAUGUGUUUCAAAGUAGCAGUAGCUUGAUUAUGGUAAUUCCUGGAAUUCUCAUGUGGCUCGAUGAAACAUUUUGCACCCACUAAGAACCAUUGGCUUUCUGAUAUUUUCUAUAUUAGCUUAUGGAAACAGUUGUUAGAUGAAUGCAUAGGUAUACCUUCAAGUGGGUGAAACUAAUACUAGGUGUUUUCAAGUUUUGUUAGUGCAAGUAAUUUUGGAUCUAUGAGCAAGCUUAUGAAUGCGAAUCAGCCAGUAAGUGUUCCUUAGGAAUUGUCACAAAUUCCGUUAUGGAUCAUGACAAGAUAGUGGAGAGACUAAACGAUGAACAUAUUUCUUUAGUUGGAUCACGAGGCUUGCCUACUUCCCCAAAUGGAUCUCCACUGGGAAAUUGCAUUUUUGAUAGGCCAAAAUUUCCUACGGCAUAUUCUAGUUAUGUAAACUCAAGACAGAGACCCAGAGGUCCGAUCAACUGGCUUUAUCACGAACAUGAGAGUUCUAAUACAUCACGGAACUCAUUGGAUGAUUCAAAUACUUAUUCAAUCGACAGACAUUCUCAUGUUCAGCAAGGCCAUGGCUUGUCAACGCAAUCUAUUUAUGGUCAUAGUUGGCUAUUUAUUCUCUCUGUGCCUAUAUUUGCAUUUUGCUAUUUUGGGUUGAGAAAGCUGUUCAAGAAUGAUAAAAAUAUAAUGAUUUGAAGGAAAAGGAAUCUGUCGUUCCUAAGAAGAGAAAAUCUCGGAAGUCCAGAAACUUGAAAAAUGCUACCAUCAGUGUUAGUCAUGACAGACAUACUUUAUCCAUGAAAGAGAAUGCUGAAACCAAUGGGCAUAAUCAAAUUCAGGUCAAUGGAAGUUAUUCAUUUAUACCUGAUGGUGAUAGUGAUGGGCGUUGGGUUGGAAGACUUUUUGUUACAAAUAUUGAAAUCGGUCACGGGAGCAAUGGUACAGUCGUCUUUGAAGGAUUUUAUGGUGGUCGUCCAGUUGCUGUAAAACGGCUUCUUCGUGCACAUUAUGAUGUUGCCUUUAAAGAGAUUCAGAAUCUUAUUGCAUCUGAUCGGCACCCAAAUAUUGUUCGGUGGUAUGGAGUAGAACAAGAGUUGGAUUUUGUGUAUAUCUCACAGGAGCGUUGUAUUUGCAGCCUAAGUGACUUAAUAUGCAUAUGCUCAGAUUCUUCUUCACAUUCAGUAUCUGUGGAAAAUCAAACAUCAAACUCUGUGGUUGAAGAUAAAGUUCAAUUAAGCUUGGUGAAAGGUAUCAGAAAGGAUGUUAAAACUUGUGGAGAUCAAAUGGGCUUCCUUCAAGCCAACUCUUAAAGAUAAUGAGGUGCGGGUUUGUCCUUUCCCUUGUAUGUCUCUUCACUGUAGAUUUUGUGUUGCUCUGUUACUUCUUUGUCUCCUUGUAUAUAUAUUUGAGUCAAUAUUUUUUUAUAAACAGCUUAUAGGUCAUCUUUUAUCUUACUUGUUGGCAUUGGGUGUUUACUGAACAGUGAAGAAUUACCAUUUAACAGCCAUUGUUUCCUUAAGAAUAUAAGACAAUGACAAUUUAAGUCUCAUUUGAUUGAAUUUAGCAAUUUGGUUUUUUCUUAGAAGUAGCUUCUUGAUUGCAAUAUUAUUUUCUUUCACAAAAGAAAACUUCAAAAUACAUCAGAACCAGUUCUGCUCUGUACAACAGAUGAUGGCGAAGUUGGGAAGAAGUUAUAUGCAUAUUCAUUAGUAACACAGUUUCUUAAGCACAAGAAAACUUUGUACAACAGAGGAUGACAUAUGUUUCUAUAUAAAAUCAAGAGUGACAUAGUUUCUUAAACAGAAUAAAAACCUAAAGUUUAUAGUAUUGACUGGAAAACAGCAGAUGUCAAAUUAGCAAAAAAGUUACAGUUAAUACAAUAAUUAGAGUGAAAAGCCUCAUCUAAGUAAUCCAAUUUGUUGUUGUUGUUGUUGUUGUUGUUGUUGUUGUUGUUGUGUAUCAUAGGGGCCUUUGACAUGUCUAACUUUAAGGCAAUAGCAUUUGCUUCUUUUCCUCAAGUUGCUUGUGUUGUCUAUUUAUUUUGGAAAUUGGCUAUGCUAAUUUGCAAAUUUUGGUAGCUAUUGAUCUUUUGUGAUACUGUGGAUCUGUUGUUUUUAAAACUUUAAUCGUGUUUGUUUUACAGAGAUGUAGUUUCUGGCCUUGCACAUCUACAUGAAGUUGGAAUCAUACACCGGGAUCUAAAGCCUCAAAAUGUGCUAAUAAGCAAUGACAGACAUCUUAAUGCCAAGCUUUCUGAUAUGGGUAUAAGCAAAUGCCUACUUGAAGACAUGUCUUCAUUGAGCCGUAAUGCUACUGGUUAGUGCACAAUGAGAACUUUAUAUCUCUGGUAUCUGACAAGUGUGCUUAUUCUUUUAUUAUCCUUAGAAAUGGACCAAGUUCAAGCAUGUUUUAAUUUACCAUAGGAUAUGGUACCUCUGGUUGGCAAGCACCUGAACAACUUCUUCAUGGGCGUCAAACACGAUCUAUGGAUUUGUUCAGUUUGGGUUGCAUACUAUUCUUUUGUAUUACCAAAGGAAAACAUCCAUUUGGCAAUCAUUUUGAAAGGGAUGCAAACAUUAUUCACAAUCGCAUGGACCUCUUCUUGGUGGAUCAUAUACCAGAAGCUGAACAUUUACUUUGUCAACUGUUACAGCCUGACCCAAAGAUGAGGCAAGCAGACCUUUUUUCACAAUUUCCAUGGUUACAUUGCAGUCAUUCCCUCUGCUCAUUUUUUCUGAUUUGCUAAGUACAUGCUUCUUGUGUAUCAUCAGGCUGAAUGCGGUAGAAGUAUUGUGUCACUCUCUUUUUUGGAGUUCUGAGACACGACUUUCAUUUUUACAAGAUGUAAGCGAUCGUGUUGAAUUAGAAGACAGAGAAAAUGAAUCGGAGCUGCUAAAAUCGUUAGAAAAUAGUGCGCCAAAUGCAUUUGGUGGGAAAUGGGAUGAUAAGUUAGAUGUUGCAUUCAUUACAGACAUGGGUCAUUACAGAAAAUAUCAUUUUGAUUCCAUACGUGACCUUCUACGAGUAAUAAGAAAUAAGUUGAAUCAUUACUGGGAACUUCCAAAAGAACUCCAGGUAGCCUCUUCCAUCCUUUUAUUUGAGUAUUUUCAUCUUAAAUUCUUGAGAUCAAUUUGCUCUGUGUGUGUAACUUGGUUCAAGUAAUUUCUUUGUGUGGUUUUCUUAUGUAGAUAUUUGUUGUUAUAUUAUCGCUUUGUUGAACCAAUCAAUUAGAAAGUGUGCUUCUUGCUUCACAAUGUGUUGCGAGUUUAGGUACCACAAUAUGUAUGCUGAACAUAUUAUUUGGUUUCCAAUACUUUUCCAUUUUGUCUGAUCAUCAUUUUUUUCAGGAGCAUUUUUCACUUCGGCUUCAACUGUAUGAAAAAGAACUUGAAUUGGAUAUACUUGUUGGGUUUGUUUACUUUUACCCUUUUUUUUUGGCCUGGAUCUCAGAUAAAAUAUUGCUCAUCAUCCCAUUAUUCUCUUUACUUGGUAUACCAAAUUUAAUGGUGUCAUACUGAUCCACUUGUUAAUGCUGAUUAACUAGUUGAGGGUGUUUCAUGUGUUGUGUGCUUUGUGAAUUGAGUCUCAUAUAUAAAGCAGUACUUGCAAGGGUAUUUGUUCUUUAUGCUGAAGUAUUUCCAACGGCUGCAGGAAACUCUUGGACCUGUUCCUCAAGGAUUUGAUAUGUACUUUGCAAGUCGAUUCCCAAAGCUCCUAAUUGAAGUCUACAAAGUGGUUUACCGAUUCUGUAAGGAAGAGGAUUACCUUAGCAAGUAUUUCCAAUGCAGCAGCCUUCUGUAGAUUCAGAUCUUCUGUUCCAAAGACUUGAACCAAUAUGAGAAGUGCUUGUUUUGUUCUCUCUAUCUCUCUCUCUCUUCAUUUGGCGAAGGUAGGACUUCUUUUGCUUCUACUAGUAUCGAUUUUAGUUCUAAUCCAUGAUCGGUAGAUGUUUCUUCUCAUCUCUGUAUUGGAUGAUCUUUGAGUGUAGUUCGAUGAAUUGAAUGAGGCAUCCUUCCUCUUUCAUUAGGAUGCUUGUCUUCUUAGUUCUUGUAUUAGCGUAGAGUAGAUCGGUGCGUUCUUUGUGUAGAUGGAUUCUCUCUGCUUUUGUUUCAUUUUUUAUCGGAAGAGAAAUGCUGAUCAUGAGGUUGGCAACCUUCAAGCGGAUUUUUGGUUAUCUUCUCAAAGUUUUAUGGCAAAUAUGCUUCCCGGUGAUGAUCGGGUCUCGCUGUUUCGGGUUUUCCUCUUAUGCGUAGUGCAGUAAUGUUGUUGACGUCACUCCGGUUUGUCUCUAUUCAACAGACCAUGUCAGACACAAGUCGAUGCAGCGAGCGCCGGUUUCUCCCACCAUUGGCAACAGCCGCGGCUGUUCGAUCGCAUCAUCACCGGAUAAGGCAUAUUUUGGACCUCGAUCACGACUCAGAUCCACCGUUAGCGUAAGUGCAAACAUGAAACCGCAGGACAUGAAUCGAGCAUCACGUCGAAUACACCCCUACAGAUUCAGCACAAAGGCCACCUCCCUCCCACGUCGAUCGAAGCCCGUGCAAGGAGGCGUCUUCUCGACAAGUCUUGUUCCGGAAAGUUCAGGACGAUGUUGCAUGGCGUCGUUUCGCACAUACCAAUCAGCGACCAUACGAAGAUACGAACUCACUGCUCAGGGAGUCGAUCGCUACGUCAAACCCACGUACGAUCGACUCUCGGGCACUAUUAUAAAAGCCGUUGACCAGCAUCUGGCUAGAGGAUCCGAGAAAAAAGCCAAAAACCACUGACUUAAACUCCGAGAGGCCUAAGUCGGGAAUCCCCUAAUCCAGGCCUAUGUGUAGGGACACGACCACUCCCAGGCCAGCUCAAAUCCUCGGUGGAGGCGCGUUCAACCCAACUUCUGAUCCAGCCCAACCUCGGGACCCACCCGAUCGAUUGAGAGACACACUCUCAUUGAUAUGAUCUUAUAAAUAAUUAAUAUUUGUACAAUAUAAUGAUAUAAUCUUAUAAAUAAUUAAUAUUCUUAGUCAUAUUUUUCAAAGCCGUUAAUAGAUUACAUUAAAAUAGUUUAGGUGCAUUUACUUAACUAUCCAUAAGAUUUACCUGUCUAAGUUUUGUGCUUAAUUUACAGAAUGGCCAUAUUUUCUUACUGUAGGAGCACAAACAUCAACGUUGUCGACUGAUCAUAUCAUAUACUACAAUACAAAAAUUUUUUUUUUUUAUUUUUGGGGGGUCGACAAGUAGAAUACAUAUUUUAAUGCUGUCCGUCCGAUCAGAAUCAUCUGAUGGGUGACGUGUCCAUAUUUGCUCUGCCAAGCUUGGCAAGUGAUGCAAAUAAUUGAAAGUUCCGUGAAUAAUGGGCCUUUGGCAGUAUCGUUAGUCCAUAGCCUAAUCGUAGGACCUGAUUUGAUAGCACAGUUAUGGGCCAAGCCCAACUAUACGUCACGAAUACGAAAGCCAUCAAACAAUCGUACGGUGUCGCAUAUGCUUUCCGUAGUGGCCCGCGCAAGCAAGAGGCUGCAAGGCGAAAAGGAAAGGGAGAUGAUCGGGUCUGUGGAAGCUCUUGGUAUGGGGCUGGGUUGGAAAACCCUACCGCCCCGCCAUGUUUGUCUUACAUGGAGUGAGGUCUUUUCCAAUGCCUCCAAUGCCGAUGGUUUCCAGGCACCCCUCCCUUUCCCUCUCUGAGUCUUUUGAGGAUUGGUGUGACAUGCGAUGGUGAAGAAGGCGCCGGGAGGAGGGAGAGGAAGCGCAGGGAUUCCUACAAGCUGUGGGGAUGGGGGCAUCGCCGUGCCCAUACCAGCUCUGGCUGAGAGAUGCAGGUUGAUGGUGCUUGCCGAUCCCUCCCAUGCCUAUGGUUUUUAGUAGCUCGUUCCUCUCCCUUGCCCCUCUUGUAAUGCUCUUACGUUAUGGAUGCGGCUUACAGUAAGAACAGGUGUUCUUAUUUCAGCCGCCUCCUCCACCAACCAUUCUGUCCGCUGCCGGAGAGCUCCGACAAACAACCCAGCCGUUUCAGAACAUCCCCCCUCUGCACCUUUUGUCGUCGGCUGCAACAGAAUGGCACCGCUCCACGCAUCCGUCGCCCUCCUCCCUUUACACCUCCUCCCCCGGUGGUGCCGUGUUAUCCCUCCAUGGUUUGGCUCCUCAUGAAACCUCCACCAGCUGCAAAAUACCAUCUCCACCAACCAUUCUUUCCGCAGCCUGAAAGCUCCGACAAAGCACCCAGCCGUUUCAGAAGGGCAACUCCUUGUUUCCUUGCCCCAUUCUACCGUUUUGACCUAGUGGGGUUCGCCUUAUCUUGAUCCAUCCCCGGCCAAUUUAGUCGCUCCCCAAAACCAACCCCCACUCCCCCUCCUCUCCCUCCAUUCGAUGCUCCCAUCCGAGCGCUCCGUCGCUUUCUUCGCCUUGCUCCUGCUAGGGUUACUCGUCUCCGGCGUGUUGACGCCCGUGGUGCUUGAUCCGUCGGCGGAGAGCGAAUCUUGGGGGACCGCAGCUGCCGCCGCUGCAUCUGCUUCCCCUCUUCCUUCUCCUCCUACUCCUUGGCUUUCAAUUCCUGCUCCGCCUACUAGCGAGAUCUUCCAGGAAGAAAAAUGGACCGACCGGCCAUUGUCGGGGGAUUUGGUACCGGUCGAGGAGUCUCCUCCUUUUGUCCCGGAUCCCAAAUCGGCGUUGCUAUUGAGUUCGGCUGAAAGGUAAGCACUUGGAUUUUGGAUUGGUUCAAGUAAGAGCAGGGUUUUCUGCUAUCGCUCGUAUGUUUUUGAUUGGUUGUGUUUGUUAAAGAUCUAACUUUUUAAAGUUCAAGACACGAAUUUGAAGAUAGUUGUCGUGAAAUUUGACUCUCUCCUUUCGAAAUUCGACAUUACUUGCAGCUUAGUAGAGGCUAGCUGCUGUAACAAUGACAAUUUGCUAGCUGUGAUAGGCGUUCUUUUAAGCAUGUCGACUUGUGCGAAUAUGUGUUUCAAAGUAGCAGCAGCUUGAUUAUGGUAAUUCCUGAAAUUCUCAUGUGGCUCGAUGAAACAUUUUGCACCCACUAAGAACCAUUGGCUUUCUGAUAUUUUCUAUAUUAGCUUAUGGAAACAGUUGUUAGAUGAAUGCAUAGGUAUACCUUCAAGUGGGUGAAACUAAUACUAGGUGUUUUCAAGUUUUGUUAGUGCAAGUAAUUUUGGAUCUAUGAGCAAGCUUAUGAAUGCGAAUCAGCCAGUAAGUGUUCCUUAGGAAUUGUCACAAAUUCCGUUAUGGACCAUGACCAGAUAGUGGAGAGACUAAACGAUGAACAUAUUUCUUUAGUUGGAUCACGAGGCUUGCCUACUUCCCCAAAUGGAUCUCCACUGGGAAAUUGCAUUUUUGAUAGGCCAAAAUUUCCUACAGCAUAUUCUAGUUUUGUAAACUCAAGACAGAGACCCAGAGGUCCAAUCAACUGGCUUUAUCACGAACAAGAGAGUUCUAAUACAUCAUGGAACUCAUUGGAUGAUUCAAAUACUUAUUCAAUCGACGGACAUUCUCAUGUUCAGCAAGGCCGUGGCUUGUCAACACAAUCUAUUUAUGGUCAUGGUUGGCUAUUUAUUCUCUCUGUGCCUAUAUUUGCAUUUUGCUAUUUUGGGUUGAGAAAGCUGUUCAAGAAUGAUAAAAAAUAUAAUGAUUUGAAGGAAAAGCAAUCUGUCGUUCCUAAGAAGAGAAAAUCUCGGAAGUCUGGAAAGUUGAAAAAUGCUACCAUCAGUGUUAGUCAUGACAGACAUACUUUAUCCAUGAAAGAGAAUGCUGAAACCAAUGGGCAUAAUCAAAUUCAGGUCAAUGGAAGUUAUUCAUUUAUACCUGAUGGUGAUAGUGAUGGGCGUUGGGUUGGAAGACUUUUUGUUACAAAUAUUGAAAUCGGUCACGGGAGCAAUGGUACAGUCGUCUUUGAAGGAUUUUAUGGUGGUCGUCCAGUUGCUGUAAAACGGCUUCUUCGUGCACAUCAUGAUGUUGCCUUUAAAGAGAUUCAGAAUCUUACUGCAUCUGAUCGACACCCAAAUAUUGUUCGGUGGUAUGGAGUAGAACAAGAUUUGGAUUUUUUGUAUAUCUCACUGGAGCGUUGUAUUUGCAGCCUAAGUGACUUAAUAUGCAUAUGCUCAGAUUCUUCUUCACAUUCAGUAUCUGUGGAAAAUCAAACUUUAAAUUCUGUGGUCGAAGAUAAAGUUCAAUUAAGCUUGGUGAAAGGUAUCAGAAAGGAUGUUAACUUGUGGAGAUCAAAUGGGUUUCCUUCAAGCCAACUCUUAAAGAUAAUGAGGUGCGGCUUUGUCCUUUCCAUCGUAUGUCUCUUCACUGUAGAUUUUGUGUUGCUCUGUUACUUCUUUGUCUCUUUGUAUAUAUAUUUGAGUCAAUAUUUUUUUAUAAACAGCUUAUAGGUCAUCUUUUAUCUUGUUGGCAUUGGGUGUUUAUUGAACGGUGAAGAAUUUUCCAUUUAAUAGCCAUUGUUUCCUUAAGAAUAGAAGACAAUGACAAUUUGAGUCUCAUUUGAUUGAAUUUAGCAAUUUGGUUUUUUCUUAGAAGUAGCUUCUUGAUUGCAAUAUUAUUUUCUUUCACAAAAGAAAACUUCAAAAUACAUCAGAACCAGCUCUGCUCUGUACAACAGAUGAUGGCGAAGUUGGGAAGAAGUUAUAUGCAUAUUCAUUAGUAACACAGUUUCUUAAGCACAAGAAAACUUUGUACAACAGAGGAUGACAUAUGUUUCUAUACAAAAUCAAGAGUGACAUGGUUUCUUAAACAGAAUAAAAACCUAAAGUUUAUAGCCUCUUCCAUCCUUUUAUUUGAGUAUAUUCAUCUUAAAUUCUUGAGAUCAAUUUGCUGUGUGUGUGUAACUUGGUUCAAGUAAUUUCUUUGUGUGGUUUUCUUAUGUAGAUAUUUGUAGUUAUAUUAUCGCUUUGUUGAACCAAACAAUUAGAAAGUGUGCUUCUUGCUUCAGAAUGUGUUGCGAGUUUAGGUACCGCAAUAUGUAUGCUGAACAUAUUACUUGGUUUCCAAUACUUUUCCAUUUUGUGUGAUCAUCAUCAUUUUUUUCAGAUGGAGCAUUUUUCACUUCAGCUUCAACUGUAUGAAAAAGAACUUGAAUUGGAUAUACUUGUUGGGUUUGUUUACUUUUACCUCUUUUUAUUUGCUUGGAUCUCAAAUAAAAUAUUGUUCAUCAUCCCAUUAUUCUCUUUACUUCGUAUACUAAAUUUAAUGCUCGUGUCAUACUGAUCCACUUGUUAAUGCUGAUUAACUUGUUGAGGGUGUUUCAUAUGUUGUGUGCUUUGUGAAUUGAGUCUCAUAUAUAAUGCAGUAGUUGCAAGGGUAUUUGUUCUUUAUGCUGAACAAAUGAAACUCUUUGUUCCUCAAGGAUUUGUUCUUUAUGCUGAACAAAUGAGGCUGCAGGAAACUCUUGGACCUGUUCCUCAAGGAUUUGAUAUGUACUUUGCAAGUCGAUUCCCAAAGCUCCUAAUUGAAGUCUACAAAGUGGUUUACCGAUUCUGUAAGGAAGAGGAUUCCCUUAGCAAGUAUUUCGAAAGCAGCCUUUUGUAGGUUCAAAAUGCUUGUUUUGUACUUCUUGGAUGCAAUAACUAAACCCUAGUAUAUUAUCCUAAAAAGGUUGUAUCUACUAUGUUUAUAAUCCAAAUCCUGCUUAAUUCAUUGCAAAUUGUGAUUCGCAUUUGGAAUUGAGAGGUUCAGAAACCUCUGUUCGGUGAUCUUCCUGCACUUUAGUGCCUUUUUGUUGUUUGGAUCUCAUGUUGGUUGAGUGCUAGUAUUCAAUGAAAAGCCGAAAUGUUGUGUGCCAUGAAAUAUUCAUUACAAUCAACAGUGCUACCAAAUAACAGGACAUGCGGUAACCUAAUUGAAAGCGGGUGAAGUGGAUAUUGGAUAUUGGAUUUUCCAUUCUAACAUAUUAAUAAGAAAAAUAUAAUUAAAUUAAAAAUUUAUAUAAUAAGAUGAACAUGACGAUUGUGAUAGGAUCGACGAUGACAGAGGGAUCAAAAAGCACAGAGAGACUGAGAGAUUGAGCUAUUAUUAAAGACGGAAGAUCGACGAUACAAAGACAAUAAGGAUAUAAUAAGAACAAAUCGAUAACUCGCUAGUUAGAUCCAAAUCAAACUUUGACUUGAUUAGAUUGAAAGUCAAUGAUUUAAAUCAUUUAAUAAUGAUUACUUAGUAUUUAUUAUUAUCCAAAUUAUAUGAAUUACUAGUUUAAUAUAAUUACUUGAUUAUCAAAUAAUUAAAUUUAUUUGAGUAAACAAAUGUUAAUGAAAUCAUUACUUAUGGUACAAUAAUAUUUACUAUGACUAAAUCUGAAUUAUUAAACAAAAAUAAACAUGGUUUCACUUAUUUACCCUUGUAAAUUUGCAAACCUAUAUAGAGGUGGGACUGAUGAUGUUUAAGUGGUUGGUCAAAUCCUUCUCGCAUCGGGUCAAAUGUUAUCGGAUUUAUACUCAGCAAUGAUCCGAUUCGGACAGGAUCAGCUUAAUAUAAAACAGGGGAUAGAACUGUUCCCACAACAAAAUCAACGCUCACAGGCUCGUGAGAUCGUUUCAUUUGAUCCGAGUUGGACUCGGGCGACGGCUAGAUGGUGUUGGAUGGAUGAAGUCCGAUAAGAUCAAUUCUGACGCAUACGCAUGUCGUCGAGUCCACCCGUCAUCAUCUCCACCGAACAACUUGGCAUGCGGGUGGCUCCAGAACCGUCUGGAAAAACGAACACCUCUCGAUAUCGUUACGUCCGGUGGCAGCGGACGCAAAAAAUUCUCCAGCACACAGUAAACGUCAUGCCGUCCGCCACCGGAAUUGCAGCUCGCGAAGUUUCCUGAACCUGAGGCGAAGCAUCUCCAUGCUCCCUCUUCAUGUCUAUCCGCACUCCAUAUAUUUUGCGCGCUCUCUCUAUAUAUGUACCUCGAUGAAACAAUCUCAGGCGUUGGAGAGGCCGGCGAGCGUCUAAUCGUGGUGUGGGGUGGCCAUGGGAACGGAGCAUCAGCCGCAGAAGAAGAAGCAUAAAGCCCGACCGGCGUCCUACUACACCGUGCUUGGCGUUGGCCGGGACGCCUCCGUCGCAGAGAUCCGCAGCGCCUAUCGGAAGCUUGCCAUGGUAUGUUGAUGCUUCUCUGCCGUACGCUCCUGUGCGUCCAUGAUAACUUGGUUGGAGAUUCUUAACGGACACGAUGGAUGUGUAGAAGUGGCAUCCCGAUAGGAGAGGGAGAGAGCCGUGGACGGUGGAGGAAGCCAAGCGCAGGUUCCAGCAAAUCCACGAAGCUUAUCAAGGUGAUGAAUCGCACAUACUUCCUCCUAACAUAUUAAGCUACACACAUGCACUGACGAGACGCAGGAGCUUAAAGUUCUUAGCUUUCUUCAUCUUCUUUUCUCCUUGGCAACAGUGUUGUCGGAUGAGAAGAGGAGGAGAUUGUACGACUCUGGACUUUACGAUCCACUUCAAGACGACGAGGAAGAAGUCGAGGUAAGUAGUGAUGGCAAACCGCGCCGCUGAAUUGCCAUGAUUAUAAGCACUAGAACGAAAAAAAAUGCUAAUUUUGAGUUUGGUUUCGAACCUCGAAGGGCUUCUAUGAUUUUGUUCAGGAAAUGGUGUCGCUAAUGGCCAGGGUGAGGAGAGAGGUAACACUCAUUCUGAUCUCUCGGUGUUCGUUUCCUUCGACUUGUUUCUGUUUCUACUCGAUUAGCAACAGAUCCAAGCUCGAGUCUGGAACUAACAUGGCUUAAUCAUAUUAGGAGAAGCAGUAUAGCAUGGAGGAGCUGCAGCAAAUGCUACCGGAGAUGGCACAGGAUUUUGGCUCACCUUCUUGGCCUUGUUGGUCUGCCGAUAGAGGAUCCUCGCGAGGUUCGAAGUGGUUUGCAGACGACAUGGGAAGGGAGGCCAGAAGAAAAACUCGGCUGCAUUACCCUGGCGUGGAGCUAUUUGGAAGCAUGAGUCGCUGAGACUGUAGU